rnacentral:rRNA from 1 species
UUCGUCCAAUUGAAGCAGAGGACAGUGGCGGACGGGUGAGUAACGCGUGAGGAACCUGCCUUUCAGAGGGGGACAACAGUUGGAAACGAAUGCUAAUACCGCAUAAGACCACAGUGUCGCAUGGCACAGGGGUCAAAGGAUUUAUCCGCUGAAAGAUGGGCUCGCGUCCGAUUAGCUAGAUGGUGAGGUAACGGCCCACCAUGGCGACGAUCGGUAGCCGGACUGAGAGGUUGAACGGCCACAUUGGGACUGAGAUACGGCCCAGACUCC